rnacentral:rRNA from 1 species
AUUGAACGCUGGCGGCAGGCCUAACACAUGCAAGUCGAGCGGAUGAAGGGAGCUUGCUCCUGGAUUCAGCGGCGGACGGGUGAGUAAUGCCUAGGAAUCUGCCUGGCAGUGGGGGAUAACGUCCGGAAACGGGCGCUAAUACCGCAUACGUCCUGAGGGAGAAAGUGGGGGAUCUUCGGACCUCACGCUAUCAGAUGAGCCUAGGUCGGAUUAGCUAGUUGGUGGGGUAAAGGCCUACCAAGGCGACGAUCCGUAACUGGUCUGAGAGGAUGAUCAGUCACACUGGAACUGAGACACGGUCCAGACUCCUACGGGAGGCAGCAGUGGGGAAUAUUGGACAAUGGGCGAAAGCCUGAUCCAGCCAUGCCGCGUGUGUGAAGAAGGUCUUCGGAUUGUAAAGCACUUUAAGUUGGGGGGAAGGGCAGUAAGUUGAUACCUUGCUGUUUUGACGUUACCAACAGAAUAAGCACCGGCUAACUUCGUG